rnacentral:tRNA from 1 species
GGGUCUUUAGCUCAGUUGGUAGAGCGUCGUCUUUACACGGCGAAUGUCGCAGGUUCGAUCCCUGCAAGACCCACCA